rnacentral:rRNA from 1 species
GCAAGUCGAGCGCGCCCUUCGGGCUUAGUGGCGCACGGGUGAGUAACGCGUGGGAACCUACCCAUAAGUACGGGACAACAGUUGGAAACGACUGCUAAUACCGUAUGUGCCCUUCGGGGGAAAGAUUUAUCGCUUAUGGAUGGGCCCGCGUUAGAUUAGCUAGUUGGUGGGGUAAAGGCCUACCAAGGCUACGAUCUAUAUCUGGUUUGAGAGGAUGAUC